rnacentral:rRNA from 1 species
CAGCAGCCGCGGGAAUACGAAGGGUGCAAGCGUUACUCGGAAUUACUGGGCGUAAAGCGUGCGUAGGUGGUGGUUUAAGUCCGUUGUGAAAGCCCUGGGCUCAACCUGGGAAUUGCAUUUGUGACUGGCAAGCUAGAGUGUGGUAGAGGGGGGUGGAAUUCCGCGUGUAGCAGUGAAAUGCGUAGAUAUGCGGAGGAACACCGAUGGCGAAGGCAGCCCCCUGGGCCAACACUGACGCUCAUGCACGAGAGCGUGGGGAGCAAACAGGAUUAGAUACCCGCGUAGUCCCUGUCUCUUAUAC